GCGGAAUUCGUGGUGUAGCGGUGAAAUGCAUAGAUAUCACGAGGAACUCCGAUUGCGAAGGCAGCUUGCCAUACUGCGACUGACACUGAAGCACGAAGGCGUGGGUAUCAAACAGGAUUAGAUACCCUGGCAGUCCACGCAGUAAACGAUGAUUACUAGGAGUUUGCGAUAUACCGUCAAGCUUCCACAGCGAAAGCGUUAAGUAAUCCACCUGGGGAGUACGCCGGCAACGGUGAAACUCAAAGGAAUUGACGGGGGCCCGCACAAGCGGAGGAACAUGUGGUUUAAUUCGAUGAUACGCGAGGAACCUUACCCGGGCUUGAAUUGCAGACG
rnacentral:rRNA from 1 species